rnacentral:rRNA from 1 species
GACGAACGCUGGCGGCGUGCUUAACACAUGCAAGUCGAACGGAAAGGCCCUGCUUUUGUGGGGUGCUCGAGUGGCGAACGGGUGAGUAACACGUGAGUAACCUGCCCUUGACUUUGGGAUAACUUCAGGAAACUGGGGCUAAUACCGGAUAGGAGCUCCUGCUGCAUGGUGGGGGUUGGAAAGUUUCGGCGGUUGGGGAUGGACUCGCGGCUUAUCAGCUUGUUGGUGGGGUAGUGGCUUACCAAGGCUUUGACGGGUAGCCGGCCUGAGAGGGUGACCGGCCACAUUGGGACUGAGAUACGGCCCAGACUCCUACGGGAGGCAGCAGUGGGGACUAUUGCACAAUGGGCGGAAGCCUGAUGCAGAAACGCCGCGUGCGGGAUGACGGCCUUCGGGUUGUAAACCGCUUUCGCCUGUGACGAAGCGUGAGUGACGGUAAUGGGUAAAGAAGCACCGGCUAACUACGUG